CUUCGAGUGAGUGCAUAUUUGCACAAGUGUUCCUUUUGUGUGUGCAGCAUCGUUGCCGACUCCGAAAUAUAAAAGUAGUCUAUUUUGCUGCUGGGCACUUGGAUUUCUAUUGAAAAAUAAGUGCCCGGGUUUAUAAUCUCCGAAGUGCGAAAGAUAUAAGCAUAUUUUCACCGGCUUUAUAUAAAAUUCAACGGCAUACCAUGUACUCAAAAUAUACACUGGGCUCAUUUUGAAGCUAUUUUUUCACCGUUUCACAACAGCUUAUAAGCAUGAAUCUUACAAAAUUGCUCAUCACAUUGUAAAAACUGGAAGUUGUAACAAAAAAGUUGGAAAACUUUCAGUAUUCUUUGUGAUAAAAUGUUUUCAAAUUCUUCAUGAGGUGCACCAACUGUAUGCGCAGAAUGUGUGACGACCAUCGUGCACCUGUAUGCAUUGAAUGCGAGCGUUUUG